UCACCAAGAAGUUUAUUAACUUGCUAAAAGGUGCAUAAAAUGUUCAACAAAAAUAGUCUUUCAUGGCUAUAAAGCAUUACACACAUUAGAGAUGCAUGUCUGGUUCCUCCAUUAACAUCAACAUCAUCAUCUUCCCUUUGUUCUUCAUCAUCUACAGCGUCGGUACAAAUUACUUAGUACACAUAGCCCUUGACAAACAAUUCCUUCUUUGCCUCCUCUGACUCUCCCUCUCCGGUGUACUUGCCCAGCUGUGCAAGUGAGUUGGCCUUGGCACGGAUGAGCAGAGCAUCCUGAGCUGCCUUCACGUUCUCCGGUCUGCCUCCCCAUGUCUUCAGGCAGGUAUUUUGGAGAGCUCUGGCGUAGGAGAAGGACACGUGCCAUGGGUUUGGUGAUUGGUUCAUCGCAUUCAAGUUCAGGGUUGCCUCAACUUCAGAUUGUCCACCAGACAAAAACUGCUCAACAAAACACAAUUCCAACAUCAGUACAUAAUAUAUUCUCAUCACAGAAACACUUAAUUAGCGUCAAGUUUUUCAAACACUUGCCAUGAUUCCGGGGACAGCUGGGGGGAUUCUCCUGUGGAGGAGCUUGAGGGUGUAGUCAGCAACCUGUUGAGGGGUGGCUCUUUCCUUGGCCUCAGCACCAGGAGUAACCAUGCUUGGCUUGAGGAGGAUACCCUCGAACAAGACGUUGUUCUCAG
rnacentral:lncRNA from 1 species